AUUGAACGCUGGCGGCAGGCCUAACACAUGCAAGUCGAGCGAGCGGCGGACGGGUGAGUAAUGUAUGGGGAACUGCCUGAUGGAGGGGGAUAACUACUGGAAACGGUAGCUAAUACCGCAUACUAUCGGAUGUGCCCAGAUGGGAUUAGCUAGUAGGUGAGGUAAUGGCUCACCUAGGCGACGAUCCCUAGCUGGUCUGAGAGGAUGACCAGCCACACUGGAACUGAGACACGGCCCAGACUCCUACGGGAGGCAGCAGUGGGGAAUAUUGCACAAUGGGCGCAAGCCUGAUACAGCCAUGCCGCGUGUAUGAAGAAGGCCUUCGGGUUGUAAAGUACUUUCAGCGGGGAGGCGUUACUCACAGAAGAAGCACCGGCUAACUCCGUGCCAGCAGCCGCGGUAAUUC
rnacentral:rRNA from 1 species